rnacentral:lncRNA from 1 species
UAGAGAAGUAACUCAAAAUUAAUCACAAAGGUUUUAGUCCGUAAUAGAAGUAGAAUUUAAGAUUAUAAAAAUAAAAAAUUAAAUUCUAUAUUUCGCGUGUCUUGAAAAUUUUAUAUAUUUGAGGAGUGUUACAUCCGCGUCGGUAAAGCCACUUAAUACGAAUUCUUCAUGUCUUCUAUACAUCAGACCAUGGUCAAGUGAGCCCUUCACAUAACGAAGAAUUCUUUUUGCUGCAUCUAGGUGUGAACUUCUUGGACAUUGCAUGAACUGAGAUACAAUUCCAACAGAAUAAGCAAUCUCAGGUCUUGUGAUAGUUAAAUAAAUUAAACUACCAACAAGCUGCUGAAAACUUCUAGCAUCUUUUAACAGUGUUCCUUCAUCUUUCAUCAAUUUGAGAUGUGGCUCCAUUGGAGUAGCUUUCUCUUUCGACUCCCCCAUGCCAAAACGCUGCAACAACUUUCUUGCAUAUGCCUUUUGAGAAACAAAAUAUCCUUGAUCUGUUUUUUCAAUUUCAAGACCAAGAAAACAGCUAACUUCUCCCAAAUUCUUCAUCUCAAAUCGAACAGAGAGUUCAUUUUUCAACUUAAAAAUCUCAGCUUCAUUAUUUCCAGUAAUGAUCAUGUCAUCCACAUAUAAUAAGACCAUCAAGUGCAUAUUUGAUUCUAUUUUAAUAAACAAACUUGAAUCUGCAUCAGAAACUUUAAAGCCACAGAAGAUAAAGUAUUGAGCAACUUUACCAUACCAAACACGUGGUGCUUGUUUAAGACCAUACAAUGCCUUCUUUAACCAGCAAACAUGACGAGGAUAUUGCGUAGAGACAUAACCUUUAGGCUGUUCCAUAAAAACAUCACGAUCCAAUUCUCCGUAAAGAAAAGCGUUCUUUACAUCAAGUUGCCACAACUUCCAAUUCUUAGAUGCUGCAACAGAGAAAAUGGUUCUUAUUGUUACCAUUUUUGCAACUGGGCUGAAAGUCUCCUCAUAAUCUAGUCCAUAACUUUGAGAAAAAACACGUGCAACAAGCCGAGCUUUGUACUUAUCAACGACCCCAUCUGAGUUUUUCUUCAAUCGGUAAACCCAUUUGCAAGUGAUAAGCUCGCAAUUCUCUGGCUUCGACACCAACUCCCAUGUCUGGUUUUUGUUCAAAGCAUCAAUUUCUUCUUGCAUAGCUGCUUCCCACUUUGGAUGACCUUUGGCUUCUUCAAAGCUUGCUGGUUCUUCAUCCAAUCCUCCUAUAAAAAAGCAUGAAGUAAUUGAGCAGUUAUUCAGUUGUACCUCAUAGUCUUUCAGGUAACUUGGCUGUUGUUUCUCCCUUGUUGAUCUCCUAAGAGUUUGCUGUUCACUACCAUCUGAAAUUGAGGUAUUUGAAGUUGAGAUUUCAUCAUUGUUCGAAGCCUGCGGGUUACCCUCUGGAAUCAGCUGCAAAUGUUCUUGAUCACCAUCAAGAAUGGUUUCUUGAUUGCUUGUUUUCUCGGCAGAAUAGUAUGAUGAUACUUCAUCAAACACAACAUCUCUGGAAGUGACAAACCUUUUUGUUUGAGGAUCCAUACACCUCCAUCCUUUUCUAUAUGAAUCAUAGCCAACAAAGACACACCUUUUUGCUUUCGGGUCAAGUUUAGUUCGGUUAGAUUUUGGUAUAUGAACAUAACAAAUUGAACCAAAUACCCGAAAGUAAUUUACAUUUGGCUUUUCAUCAUAUAGAGUCUCAAAAGGAGAUUUUUCUUUACCUGGCCAUGGAGGCAAACGAUUUAUUACAUGGCAUGCACCCUGAAUUGCAUCAGCCCAAAGCUCUCGAGGGAGAUUCUUAUCGUGCAGGCGGGAAAGGCUCAUGGAAACAAGAUGAGCUAAUUUCCUUUCUGAGACACCGUUCUGUUGAGGGGUACUUGGACAUGUCAUUUGUCUUGAAAUACCGUUGUCAUCACAGUACUUGAACAAAUCAUUUGACAUAUACUCGCUUCCGUUGUCACUUCGUAAACACUUAAUCUUCACCCCAAAUUCCUUUUCCACAGCAAUUUUAAACUCAGCAAAUUUUGACAAAGCUUCGCUCUUCUCUUUCAAGAACUUCACCCAUGUAUAUCUUGAAAAACCAUCUACGAACACCAUGGCGUAGAGAAAACUGCUAUAACUUGAUGUUUUUGUUGGUCCCAUCAAGUCGGUAUGAACCAGCUCAAAUAUAGAGGAUCUCCGAUUCAAUGAUCUCUGAAAUGGAAGACGAUGUGAUUUGCCAUAUUGACAGCCUUGGCAAACUACAUCUUCAUGAAUAUUCUGUAGAGCUGGUAUGCCAUCCACCAAUUUCUUCGAAGAAAUUUGCUGCAACAAUUGGUAGCCCAAGUGUCCCAAUCGAGCAUGCCAAAUUGCUGGACUAUUUGUUUGACUUGUCUUCUUCACAUAGGCUUCCCCUACAGCCAUGACAAAUAAAGAACCUUUCUUUUCACCAGCAAGAAUAACAUCUGCAGCUAUAUUCUUUACGUUAUCAAGAACCUUUACAUCAUUUGGACCGAACAAAACAUAUUUUCCGGAAUUGGUAAUUUGGGAGACUGAAACUAAAUUUCUCUUCAAACCUGGAACAUGAAAGACGUCGUUCAACUUGAUAGCCCGUGUAUCUCUAACGUCAAUCUUCAAAACUCCUUCUUUAGCUACUGGAUAUACCGAGUUAUCAGCUGUAACAAUAACUCGUUCUCCGUUAUGUUGACGUAGCUCUGAAAGUAGUGAAUCAUUGCCGGUUACAGGAUGAGAGCAACCAGAAUCAAUGAUCCACUCUUGUCUGCAGCUAUCGUGGUUGUACAGAACUUGAGCUGGUACGGCACCAUCGUUCCUCCCUUCAACUACUUCAACGGUGAAGCAUUGCUCCCAUUUGAGUUGCUCGUUUCCUUCACUUUCAGUGGCAACAUUUGCCUUUGAGAUCUUCACUCUACAGUUUUUCUUGCUGUGCCCGAUUUUACCACAUUUAUGGCACCUUCUAUUUUCAAAGUUGCCAUCAGUAGCUUUUCUGCUGUUGAGCCUUUCUCAUUGUUCUUGUUUCCUGCUGAUGUGUUUUUCCUUUUAUUCUUGUCCUUUGAGAAGAGAACGCCAUUUGCUUUGCUAAAGCCUCUUGGUUGGAAAGCAAAUUUUCUAAUUCUUCAACUGAAGGUUGCUUUGACCAACCUUGAAUGGAGGUGACGAAAGGAUUGUACUCCUUCUUCAAUCCUCGAAUAAGAAAUCGUCGCAUUCUUGCUUCGCCGAUCUCCUCAUCCGGAUCUAAUUCUGAAAUUUCAGCACAAAUGCUUUUAACUCGUAGGAAAUAUUCAGAAAUAGACAUACCUCCCUGUGUUAGCAUUGCCAAUUCAUUUUCCAACAGCUGUAACCUUGCUGUAUUCCUUUGAGAAAACAAUCUCUCAAGUGUCUCCCAGACUUCUUUUGGUGAACUAACAUCACGUACAUGAUCGAUGAAUUCUUUUCCAAUUAAAGUUCUUAAAGCAAAGAGAGCUUUACCACAUUUGAUCUUCCAUUUCCUUCGUGGUUCUGCAUUUUCCGGAGUAUUUGCUGGAAUGUCUGCUUCAGCACCAACAAUAAGAUCCCACAAGUCUUGACCUUGAAGGUAAGCCUCCAUACACAUUCUCCAGUACUUGUAGUUUGUCCCUACAAGCUUUUCAACACCAAACUGUGCAUUCGAACUACUUCCCCCAUUUGCCAAUUCCAUACUGCACAAAGAGCUUCUCCUCUACAACUUUCGAUCUCCUCCAACAAGACAAAGCGAACUUGAUAGGCAAGAAGAAAGAAAGAACAACCAGAGUUCAACAACCUGGCUCUGAUACCAUAAAACAAAAAAAUAACAGAGGAAAGAAGAAAUUGUAGGAGAAAUAAAACACUGAAGAAUGUUAGUGCUUUCACUAGAACUCUGGUUCACAGCAGGAUAUGCAAAGCAUAUAAAUAAGACUGAACCACUAACGUUCAACUCCUAAAAAGACUCUAACAACUAGCAAGGAAUCCUAUCCAAAUUAACAACUAAGCUGAUACUAUUCCUAUAAAAUAGGAACUGAAUUAUUUGACUCAGUAAACAUAAGUAAAACAGUAAAUAAAACAUGUAAGAUGCACUAAUUUUUAACAAGAUCACUGUAGACUGUAUUCCGACAAUUUGGAACCAAAGAAAAAUGGCUGUUGCUCUUAUCCACAAUUAAAAGGUGCUUCCUUCCAUCCAUCCAUGGUAAUCUUGUUUUAUUCCUUAGAAUGCAAUGAGAGUGGAUUUGAAUCAUACUUUUGGGGGGAAAGGGGAGGCACCUGGUGCUAUUAAGAUCAAUUUGAACUUUGGAACAUGUAUCCAGAUUAUUGAUUUCAUCGCAGAAUGAACACCACGGUUCGUGGUAGCCGUUUCCUUCCUUUUGAGAAGAAAUUUGAGCGGCUACCAACCCAACGAGAGCUCCUAUAUUCUUUUUAUUUCUCUUCUCGAUUGGUUGUUGGAGGCUAACCCAGCAGAAAGUGCUAAAUUGUUCUGUGUUGUUAUAUAGUGAAAUAUAGUAUAUCCUAUGCAGUUCAGUAUUUGAAUUUUGGACUUGUGGUACACUACAAAUAUUGAUAUUAGGACGAUAAUUUCAGCAGAUUCAAUAGUUGUACGCAUAUGUUCCAUGAUUUGCUCAAUGAAAUCUUGGAUGUUAAUGGAUUUUCUCACUUUCUAGUUUCUACCUUGUGUUUUAUCCGUGUUUAGCAGUUCCAUAUUAGUUUCUUUUACUCCGAUUGAUCGGUUGAGAUGGUUAGCAUGAAGCAUACCGAUUCACACAUCACAAGAAAGAUUUGAUCAAAAGUGACUAAAGGGGAAGACUAGCAAAGCAGGAAAAGAAAGAGGAAUGGGAGCAACAAGUUAUUAUCUUUGCCACAACUUUCAGAUCAUAGAAGCAUUCAAGCUUGCUGGAUAUCGUUCUGUGAAAUCAAAUUCAGUGGAUCAAGUAAUAAGUGGUCGAAAUGAACAGGCUGCUCACUGGUACCUACCAAUUAUUGUAAGAGCUGUAAAAAGCUUUGCACUUUGGUCCCCUACAUUAACACAUCACAUGGGAGAAAUUUGCAAAGUAAGGCUAAAAUUGCGUCUCGACUCCUGUAUUUGCCCUGCUAAUUUGGUAACAGCUAUUAAUAUUAGACUUCUUUGACUAGACAACAUGAAGAGUUUCACUUCUAUAUCUUAAUAGUGUCGUAAAGCAUAACAACUUAAAUAUACUGGUAGUGGAAAAUUAUUUUCACAAUCAAUCAAUACAUGUAGAAGUAUUUCGUAAUGGCAUAGUCCGAAUGGCCUUAAUUUGCUGAUAAUAUAAAUUAUUCUAUAGAUGCUUUAAAAAGCCUUUUACUUUACGAAUCUUAUAAAUUAGUUGUGGUUGCCCAUCAAGUGCCAGGAAGCCAUUUUUCUUUUACUUCUAUUGUACGUAAUUUAUUAUUCGUCAGGGACAUUGUGCCCUCCCAUUAAUGUAUGCCUGCAAGAUUGACUUAGUAGGCCUCGAAAACCUCAAAAUAAUUAACAGUUCACAACUGCAUAAAUUUGUGGAGUAGCACGGAAAACAAAAAUUAAAGGGGAAAUAAAUAAAAUAAAAUACUAUUCCUGAGAAUUUAUGAAAACUAUGCAUUCAAAUUUCAAAUUCAAGCAUGGAAUUGCUCAAACUGAAUUCAUUGCCUACAGUACUAGGUAUAACCUCUCUUUCAAACAAACAUCGCAGAACAGAACCCUAUACAAAUUAAUUUACAGAACUCAACCAAUAACUCAGAGACACUUGUUAUUUACUCUUUUAAGGAUACUAAUAAUCAGUCAAAUUUUUUGAUAAGGAGAAAAUAGAAGGAAUUCUACUUGUAAUAGUAUCUAAAAUUUCAGAAGCAGAGGGCCUAAGGCUUGGGGAAUCACCAAGGCAUAAUCCUGCUAGUGAAACCAUAGCCUUAGCUUCCUCCAGAUCAUAAGCUCCAUUAAGUCUUGAAUCCACCAUUUCUGCUACUUUAGAUGCAUCCCUUAAUAUAUUACCAGCUUUUGAUAUUAACCUUUCUCCACUAUCAGAAGAAAGUGCUUCAAAGCCAGAAAUUAAUUCCAAAAUAAUUAUACCAAAGCUGUAUAUAUCAUUCUUUUUUGAGGCAAUGCCAGUUCUUAAAUAGUGAGGAUCUGUAUAGCCUGGAGAACCAAGCAUCAUACGAUUAGUCGACGAAUUUGGUGGCAAAAUUGUUGAUGAAAAUCCCAUUUUUGCUGACCCAAAAUCACAUAACUUGCAAUUGAAUUUCUUGUCAAGUAACACAUUUGAAGCUUUUAUAUCACCAUGUACUAUAGGGAGUGUACACUUAUCAUGUAAAUAUUCAAUAGCUUUAGCAAGUUGAAAUGCUAUAGCCAUACGAUUUUUCCAUGACAUUUUUCUAGCAUCAGUACCGUGUAAUUUCUCCUGUAAAGUCCCGUUUGAAAUAUACUCAAAUACCAACAUCCCUUCUUCUCCAUUAUCACAAUAUCCAAGAAAUUUGACUAUGUUUUCAUGUUGGAUUUGAAGCAAAAUAUCCAAUUCUUGUUGGUAAACUUUCUGAAAACGUUCACUGCUUAGGUCUAUUAUUUUAACAGCCCCUAGCAGUGAAUCAGGAAAUUGUGCUAAAUAAACUGUGCUAAAUCCCCCAUAAGCAAUUAACCUAGACCGCGACAAAUUCAUAGUAAAUUUCUCCACCUCAUCACACGUAAAUCUCCUCACACCAAACUUUUUUGAGCAGUCCUUAUUUUCCUCUUCAUCUCCUGCAACCUUAGAAUCAAGAACUCCACUGCGUCGCUUUAACUUGAACCCUAAACACUUGAAUAAAGCCAUGGCACAAAAGAAAAGAAAGAGCAAAAUACCCAAAGCAGCACUAGUUGAAAUAAUAACUCUGUUGUAUUUGUGAUUAUAAAGGGGUGGUACUGCCGUCGGUGGAGUGGCUAAAGGCUGUGAAGCAACGGGGAAAGAAGAAGAAGCAGUACAAAAGAAAAAUGUAAAGAAAUAGUAGUAAUAUGAAGGGAAAGAGCAACAACUACUAGUACUAGUUAACAAAGAACCCCACCACCCACAGACAAAUGGACUAUUUCCAAGACUAAAAUCGUUUGUAUUUGAAACUUUCUUCGCCUUUGACAAUUUAUUACUCUUACCAAUGUUGGAUGGUGAGGCUUCCAUAGAAACAACAAUAUCCGAGAGGGGGUUGGGUUUUAUUCCAAAACCAGAGAUCUAUCUAUACAUAUAAAAAAAUAAAGAGUACCCAUGAUUUAAAAAAAUCAAUAGAGUAGGAAUAAUAAAAGUGGGAAUAUGAAUAGUUUAUUAGGUUUAUAACCAUGGAGGCAUGGACGGGCAAGUGGUAAGGCAACACUUAAUUAAAUUUGGGUGUAAGAUUUUAGCACACUAUUAAGAAAAUUAUUUAAUAGCAUUAAUUAUAUUGAUGAUUAAGUUAAACUUUAUCUCUUAUUCAAUUCAUUUUUGGAAAUUGUAAGACUUUUUUUUAAUGAUCGGAAAUUGUAAGGCUAAUAGGUUUUUUUAGAAAAAUUGUAUAGAUUAUCCAUACCUUGAUACCGCUAAGGAAAUUGAUCGAUUAAGAUAGUAGGAUGGUAAUCAUGGAAAUUGAAAGGGACAUUUGCGUCUAUAUCCGCUUUUUGGGUCAAGUUUUAAUUUGUGCCCAUUUUGCAAAAAAAAUUGCAAGCGUACCCACUUUUUUGUGUAACUUCAACAUACGGGGCUGAAGUAGCAAAUGCAAUCACGCAAAACUUCAGCAUUCUAGUAGACGGGCCUGAAGUAGCAAGUGUGCUGAACCAAGUAUGCUGAAGUUUUUGUUUGUAAUUGCUGAACUUAAGCAUAGUAGCUGAAGUUUUGUUCUCUAUUUGCUGAAGUUUUUGUUUGUAAUUGCUUAAGUUAAGCAUAGUAGCUGAAGUUUUGUUCUCUAUUUGCUGAAGUUUUUGUUUGUAAUUGCACUAAAUAAGCUGAAAUUUUUUUGUCUCGAANNNNNNNNNNNNNNNNNNNNNNNNNNNNNNNNNNNNNNNNNNNNNNNNNNNNNNNNNNNNNNNNNNNNNNNNNNNNNNNNNNNNNNNNNNNNNNNNNNNNNNNNNNNNNNNNNNNNNNNNNNNNNNNNNNNNNNNNNNNNNNNNNNNNNNNNNNNNNNNNNNNNNNNNNNNNNNNNNNNNNNNNNNNNNNNNNNNNNNNNNNNNNNNNNNNNNNNNNNNNNNNNNCAAUAAACGUGAAAAGAACAUAAUUAUCAUGAAAAGAAUCACUAGGUGUGACCUUAAAUUUUCCGUACGUAGAAAUAUUCACAAAUUAUUGUCUACUAACUAAUAUAUUAUUUAUAAUUUGUUUUUAAAUAAUCUAAUAAACAUACUUAUGGCAAUCAUCCCAUGAACUGAAGUUUCAUAGCAGCACCAACAACAACAGAAGAAAGAAGAAGAAGAAGAAAACGAAGGAGGAGGAAAAAUGGGGCUAAAGUUAUUUAAAAAAUAGGUACAAGUUAAAACUUUUUAAAAAAAUGGGUAUAUGUUAAAUGGGGGCGACCAAAUAGGGCGCCCCAUGCAAUUUUUAUAAAUUGAAAUAUGUAACAACUCACUUUUAACAUCAACUAGCCCCAAAAAUAGACGGCGCUUUGUCGGGGCAGGUGCCAAGCCCCAAUCAGUACGAGGGUAAAAUAGUUGCUGCAAAACCUUGGGCAUGAGUUCGUGGAGAAUGGCUGAUGUUAUAAGGAUAAGAAAGCAGCUUGGUGUAUAAAGUAUCUCGCGUUCACGCAGGUUCUGAGAAAGGGUCGUGCCCCAAGGGGUGUGAUAUAGGUAGCCUACCUUGAUGCAAUUAUUAAUGGUUGAUUUUAUGGCUGGAACCCGACCACAUAUAGACAACUUGACCGUUACUCACGGGCUUUCCUUUGACGUUGUAAGGAUAGAUUUGAGGGAAAAGUUAAUCUUGGUGCAAUUAUUUUAAAUCAAAUUUAUUUAGUUAAAGCAACAAAUAAAAAGUAGUAGCACUCAUGAUUAAAACUUAACAUCGUAGGAAUAAUAUAAAAAAGGGAAAUGAAUAGUUCAAGUUUAUAUAAAACGUGAAGGGGUGACUAGAAAGGUGACACUUGAUUAGAUUAGGGUAAUUAUUAUUAUUAAUAAUGAUAUAAAUUGUAGUUAGUACAUAGUUUUCAAGGGUAAAUAAAUAUAAACUAAAAAGUCUAUACAAGGCAUGAAGACAGGCGCAAGGAAGAUGAGUACUCUCUUUAGUGGUCAACUCAGUCUAAUAGUGACAUCUCAACCGGCUCCUUGCUAUCUUCUUUCCAUUCUAUAUAGGUGGGCCCCUUUUGUAUUCCACGUGUGUAUUUGGACAUUAUCAUAUUCGUAGAUCUUCUUUUGUUUUUUGAAUUUUCCAAUUAUUUAUGUUUGGUAGCCCGUGAGUAGUGGCCAAUGUCCGAUGUUAGAGGCGGAACAAGUACAACGGGAAUUAAAAAGGAUUUGAGUGAUAUAUAAUGAUAGUAUAAAUAUUUACUUAUACUAAUAUUUAUGAACGUGAGUUGCACGUUAAUAAUGGCACAUGAUGAUAUAAAUAUUUAUUUAUAUGGAACAAUAAAAUUUAAUUAAUAAGAGAGAUUUUAUGUAUAAUAAUACAACAAUCAUCUAAAUGCCGAAAAAUAUUAUUACAUUAGCAUAAUACAUUAAUUUAAAAUAAAAAGACAUCAUCAAAACUUACACAAUGAUCAAUUUUGCCAUGUUAGUUAGAUAUAUGUAUUAUAAUUUAAAAGUAUUUAAUGUGAUUGUAUCUUAAAGAACACUUCUUUGUGGACAAUAUUUUUUUAUGUAUGUUUCCUCUUAAAGCUUUGGUUGCUUUGUCUUAACUAGAACUUUUGUUGUCGAUCUUGAUAUCCCUCUUGAAAGUGCAAUAAACAGUUGUUCGUACAAGAAUAUUGCGGUAAAUAUAGUCCAAUAUUUAGGAUGUUUGUCCUUGUGCUUUAUUUAUUAUAUUUGCAAAACAUAAACAUACUAAAAAUUAUUUUCACACAAAUUUAAAAGGAUAUUCGUUAGUUUCGGGAGACGAAAGUUGAAUUCAGGGAUAAAAAUAUACUUAGAAGCACAUUGACCAGUAUCAUAUUAUUUGCAUGUGUGACGUUAUUGUCAAAACUUCUAUAUAUUAUAUGUGUGCUAUUACAUAAGCUAUUCGGCGUAUUUAAGUUUUUUAGUAGCAUGACAGGCAUAUUUUUCGAAAUCAACUUAUAUACAAUGAAAGAUCAACUUAGUCUAUUAUAUAUUCGGUGACACUAACGUACAUAAGAAAUAAUAAACUUGACAACAAACAUGUAUGGUAGAAGGUCGUUUAGUAUUAAAGUAUUUAAGUAUUCUUCUUGGUAGUAAUUAUUGGUAUCAUUUUCUGCUGAGUCAAAAACAGAAUUUUAUUUUAUUUUGUACUUUAAAAUUUUGCAAUCAACCUUUUUUUUAGUUGAUCAACAUAUUCAUUUCUGCUAGCUAAGAUAUCUUUUUAAUUCCAUCUUGCAUUUGCACAAAUUGCCUUUUAAUCUAAUGAUAGAAAUAUUUCUCUUAUUAAAUAUACUACUAUUGCCAUUGAGAUUGAUAACCAAAUGUUUAGGAAGAAUCGAAUCAUCUUUUAUUAGAUGCUCUUAUUUUUUUCCUACACAAAGCAAGAAGACACUGAAUAGUGGAUCUGUUCUUUAUAUUUCUUGUCAGUUGAAUCUUUUUCAUUUGAGGCCAGAAGUAUAACUUUGGCAAGCUAGCUUUUACAGUCUCUAUUUUUGUCGAUUUUGGAACUACUGGUAGUACUUGACAUAAAUUACCUCCCAAACCAUUGAAUGUUUACCAUACAGAUCAUUAAUAUUCAAUAUAUCUCUACAACUCCGUUUGGCACUAGACAUAAGUGCUUCAUCCCAUAUUAUCAAUUUUUCUUUUCUUAUAAAUUUAGCAUCAUUACUCUUCCUUGAUAUAUUUGUGAUGGUUAUUAAAGUUUUUUGAAGAAGUAUAUCAAAUAAAGUGAGUGGUCUCACAAUAAAAUCGUUGUUGGUACAUCUCUUGCUAUUAUUGCUAACAGUGUCAUGUCUCUUGAUAUGAUAUUUGCAAGUAAUGCGUGACAUAGAAAUAUUAUUUCGAUUGCGCCAGAGGCAUCUACAAAGAAUAAUCCCGUUAUAGAAGAGUCGACUCUUUAUAAUAUAGUCUUGAAAAUUUAUUCUUGUUUAGGGUUUAGCUUUGAUUGUGCUUCCUUAGACACUUGUGUAGCAUUUUGAUUCUUAAUAAUAUAUUAACCUUUUUACAUUGUGUUUUAACACUCUUUUUAUGGAAUAAAUUCAUGUACCCUAAAUUUUUUUUUUUAACUUGAAUAAGAAUUUUACACAUAUGAUGAAUUUAAAAAAUAAUUGAAUCGGAUUCUCUUGCUAAAUAAUUAAUUCAAAGAUUUAAUUAUUUGAUUUUAACAUAAAAAAUAAGUUAUUCUAUGUUGAUUCAGAUGUUAAUAUUAGUUCAUCUCUUGUUUUGAAUAUUUAAUCUUAAUUAUAAUUUUAUCCACCGUAAAUUUUAUUUUCACUUUUAGAUCUUUAUGAUUGUAGAAUCAUUAGUGGUGUUGACUCUUACCUACCAUUUUUUCUCUUUCUCGUACAUUUAUAUUCUUAAAUAUUUUCUUAGUUGUUGUUUAAUAAUUGGGUAUUUUUUAAUAUUACAUGAAAAAUUGAUAAAAAUAUAUUAUUUGAGUAGAAAAAUAAUUCAAAUAUAAUAUAAAAAUAUAUUAUUGCUGGGUAUUUUUAGUUUCAACUUUUUAUGUAGUCUAUUUAAUAUUGUUUUUGUAUUGCACAUUAUGGAGUGAUAAUAUAUUGCCAAUACAGAGGAUUAUGAUGAAAUUAAUUUUAUUAAACCUUUCUACACAUUUUUAAUAAGAAUUUAAUAAACAAAUUUUAUUAAUUUUAAAAUCUUAAAUAUUAAAAAUUAGCAUAGAAGGUAUUAUAGUCCAAAAAAUAAAUUAUUGCAGUUAUGCCCUUUCUCUAUGAGUUCUUCCGUUUAAUGUUUUAGGGCUAUUUUGGUAUAUUAAUAUUAUAUUUAUACUUUUAUAAUAACGUAGGCUCUCAUUUUUUCUAAAUGGAUUUGUACAAUAUAAUACAUUCUCAAAUUAAAUUAGUAAUAGGACAUUAUAAUACGUUUUCAAAUUAAAUUAAUAAUAGGAAUUUUUAAGAAGUAUAUCCUAAAAGUAAAUGUAUAUCUUUUUCUAAAUGGAUUUAGACAAUAUACAUUCUCAAAUUAAAUUAAUAAUAGGACAAUAUAAUACGUUUUUAAAUUAAAUUUUUAAUAAAAAAAAUUUAAGAAGUAUAUUCUAAAAGUAAUAGGAUUACAUGGCUAAAAUUAUUAGGAUUAUACUAAUAGGAUUCGUAAAGGUAAUCAUGUAGGAUUUCAAACGUGUAUUAUAUAAAGUUUAGUUGAUUAAAAGUCCAAAUUAUUAGGCAAGCUUGACAUGACGUCCCAUAAUAGCAAUAAUCUUAAGUAGUCGAUUUUAAAUAGAAAUACUUACAAUAACAAAAUAGUAACAAAUUUGAAUUUUUUGAUUUGUGAAGAUAGAAAAGAUUUUUCCUUGGAUUGUAUAAGAAUAAUUUGAUAAGAACGAUAUUAGGUUUCAUAUAAUUCUUUAACCCAAUUUGUUUUGGGUGAAUAAAGAGAAACAAAUAACAUAUUUAGUCCUGGUAGGAUUGAAAGUUCAUAGAAGUUAAUUCUUAUAUAUUACGUGGGCACCAUGUCUGGUUACAAAAUGUAAAGAAUUUUAGUUGAUUUCAAGUCCUAUUAUUAUCAAAACUUUAAAGAUUAAAAUUUUAUCCAACAUUUAUAAUAUUUUUAAGGCUAUUACAUGACUAAAGAUAUUUACUUAUUUAAUUUUAUAUGAAUUAGAAAGAUGGAAAGUAAUUAUACUAAUUGGAUUUCUAAAGGUAAUCAUGUAGGAUUCCGUGUAGUAUUAUGUCCUAAAACUAAUCGAAUUACAAGACUAAUAUCUAGAACUCCGAUUAUGUCCUUUUAUUGUGAGUUAUUAUGCCUAAUAUUAUAAGAUUAUUUUUGUAAACCGACAUUGUAUUCAUACUUUUAUAAUAAUAUAGAUUAGCAAUGAUUUUUAAUAUGUGAUAUGAGGUUAGUUAUUAGUAUUACUAGAUGAUUAACUAAUGCUCCUCAAAAGUUUACACGUUUGUGUAUAUAUUGUAAAUGCAUAGAACUUAAACUCUUCAAACCAGAUACUAGAAAGCCACACUUAUUGAUCCAACUUGUGAUUUAAAGUAAUUUUUGAACCCCGAUUACAAUAAUAGUAGAAUCUUUUCUUAUGUUGGAGGAAUUCAAUGAUUAUAUAUACCCGAAACUUGUGCAGUAUGAUUAUAUAUACCCAAAACUUAUCCCGAGCCAAAACUUCUCACUAGUAUAGCUAUCCGAUAAAUUUGUCCAUUAAAACUUAAAUGGAUGAAAAAAAUCACAACUAACAUUUUUUAUUUCUAUUAGAAUUUGAACUCUGAUAUUCAAAAUUAAUACAUUCUUAUUUGUCAUUGAAUCAAUGAUUUAAGCUUAAUGGACUGAAUCUUAAAAAUUAUCAUUCAUUACGAUUUAAGAUUAGUUUUGAAAAAUGUUUUUCCUUCUCUUAAAACUGAAUUUUGAAAACAAAACCUUUUUGGAGAAAGGGGGUGAGGUGGGUAGGCGUGGGGUGUGGUUGGAUGGGUGGGUGUGGGGUGGGUUGGUGAGGGUGGGGAAGGUUGAGAAGUAGCUUUGGAAAAUAUUUUCCCUUCUUUUGAUAAGGAAAAUAUUUUCCUCCAAUUGGAGGAGAAAAAUGAGUUCAUAAGGAAAAUGUUUUCCAAAAUAUUUAAAUCAACUAAAUAUGAGAAAAUUGAAAAAUAUUUUCUGCAAAAUAUUUUCCUUCGUACCAAACACACCCAUAGUGUACAAUUUAAGAAAUACUCCAUAUUUAUACGAUAAUUCAUAUUUAAUGAGUAGUGAAUACUGUAUUAUUUAGUCAUCAAUGUUUUAACAUCCUAAAUCCGACUACGCUGAAGUGAAGAUAGUGGUGAAUCCAAUUUCAAUGCUACUAAGAAUAGUGAGAAGAUUAAAUUAGUACAAAGGGUGAAUUCCUCUAUGAGCUCAAUUGAAAAGAAUUCAAUCCCUAGCAUAUCUUUAUUUGGUACAGCGAAAAUGUGAACUUUUUAAUUGCUUGAUGUUAUAAAAUAAGUACUGCAAAGUAAAUAGACAAUAUAUAAGUAUAGAGAGAUUGAUAUAUUAUCAAACUUCAAACUGAUGUACAUAAUGAACUGAAAACUCCUCCAUUUAUAGAAGAAAGGAAGCAGCUGCGAGGCUUUUCAGGAAGCAUCUGUGAGACUUUUCUUGAGCUGCUUGUAAGCUGUAUGCAUGAGUUGUUUGCAACCUGUCUGUUUAAUAAGAAGCUGCUGCAAAUCAUUUCAUUGAGUUGCUUGCAACCUGUCUGCAUCAGCUGCUUGUAGAUAAACUUCAAUGGAGUACUAAAUAGAUAAUAUUCUUCUGAAGGAUUAUCUAUAAUGGAGUAUUAAAUGAACAUCCAUAAUAUAAUUAUUUUCAUAACACUUAGAUCUUUUAUUUAUCUAAUUUUUCAUCAUUGAGACACCAACCAAAUCAAGAGGACUCAACGAAUCCUGACAAACAUCCCGCGUACGAUAUUAGAAAUGUUGGAUUAGGUGCUGUACAAACGAGGAAAAAUCCAUACACCGAAUUCUUCCUUUUCCCUCCCUUUAUUUUCUUUUUGGGUUGUUGAAUAAACGAAAAGAAAAGACAAGAGAAUUAAUUUAAGCAACUUUUUCAAGCCACGUUUAUCAUAAAGCCACAUGAGCUAUGAGCAUGUGAUUUGACCACGAAAAAUCGUAGAGUGUGCCUUCUCAACCAAUAAAGUUAUGCUCAAUAACACAACAAUAUAUAAUUAAAGGAUUUAUUUUAUUUUUUAUAUUUUUUUGUUGCAUCAAGUGAGGUGAAGGGAAAAUGGAAAGGGGAAGGAAAUAUUAUGCUAGUUUGAACCAUCCACCUUUAACUGUGGAAAGCCAGUAGCGGACCCUUUUUUUAGAGUGUAUAAGGGGAAAAGAGCUCUUGCAUCGUUAGCCGCUUUUCAGCAUUUUCUGCCUAAGUUGUUGACUAUCACCUGACCUCACACGGGAGGUCCCGUGCCGAGUGAUUCUCCCCAAAAAACUCUACAUGUAGCGAAAAUUUUCGUUACGGAGUGUCAAAAUUUAAAGAAGUAAAUACAUAAUAAAGUUAAGGAAAUACAACAUAUAUAUAUAUAUAUAUAUAUANNNNNNNCUAAACAAGGUAUUUUCCUGAUGUCAGUUGACACAUAGCUCCGUUACUAUGAAAGGCAAGGAGCUCAUCAAGUGAGUUAGCCUUCAAUUCAACCGAAAGAAUUUUAUAACUAAUAGGGAUACAGUGAAUUUUGAAAUCCCUUCACCUUUAGUUAGAAAUUUUAUGUUGGUUAUCCUGAAAAUGAAAUAUAUAUCAUAAUAUGGAACAUUUUAUUUCUCAUUAACUUGAUGUGACACAAAUCUAGACUAAUCGAAUCAUGAUGAGCUUCCAAUACCAAAUCCCUAAAAGACUAAUAAAGGAUCAAAAGUAAUUUCAUCCUUUAAUUUCCACUAUUUGGGCAUUAAAAAGUUGGGAGUGGCUCCCAUCGUUAUUUCUUUUUGUCCGAUCUCCGUUAUUUUCAUUUGUUGGCGCAAUAAAUACGUAGUACUAAGAAUAAGCUUUUUCCCGCUAUUCACGUUGCUAUUUCCUUUUCAUUUUCAUACUACUUCCUCGUCCUAUUUUAACUAUUGUUUUAGUUUAAAAAAAUUUGUCCCAAAAUAACUGUUACUUUAGGAUUUCAAGACUAAAUUUUGUUAAUUAUUUUUAAUUGCACCCUUAAUAUUAAAUAAAUAAUAAUUCUUUUAAUACUGUUCAAUUCUUAGAAAUAACAUUUAAUAGAGGUAACUUAGUAAACAAUAUUUUGUAUUUUUUAAAUGGACGUAUAUAGAGUUAGCGAUAGUUAAAUGGUAAAAUGGGACGGAGAGAGUGUCAUUUUCCUAUAUAUGAUCUACCAGUACAAAUUCCAUAAUUAGAUGAACUGCUAACCCUUCAAUUAAUGCUUUCAACCAUCGCUGUUUUCUUUAUGGAUCUAAUAAAUCAUCAGCUUGUUUAGCUGUCAUCUUCUGUCUGCAAUAUAAGAAUUUAACUGGACACCUUUUGCUGAUAUUGCUUUAGCAAAAGUUUACUCAUCCAUGUAGCAAACUGAUAAAGAUAUAGCGUGUGUUUUUCUUUUCCACAUGAAUAUUUACCACUUAAUUAUAACUAAAUAAAAGUUAGGAUUUAAGAAAAUUCUGAAUAUACUGAUGAAAUAUUUUAUAAUUCAUUGUAAGAAUCCAUGAUGAAAGAAAGACAAAUAAAAAGUCAAACAAAUGUUUAAACCAUAAGAUAUAUGGACCAUAUGCAGGGGCGGAUCAACCAUGUAAAACAUGGUUCACGUGAACCCGUGAUCCUCGGAUUAAAGUAUAGAUAUGAUGUACAUAAUUUGACAAAAAUAGAUAUAUGUAAUUGAUGAAAAUCAUGGUCAAAAGAGAUCAAGUGGUGCACUGAUUUUGGUCUCUUAUUUCCAAUAGCCUAAGGUUAGGGGAUCAAAUCCUCUACCAACCUUUUGGUUUAAUUUUUUUUUUUUAAAAAGUAAUGGUGAACCCAUCAUCAGAAAAUCCUGAAUCCGCCUCUGACUAUAUGGUAACGAUAACAACAAAUCCAGUAUAAUUCUACGAGUGAGGUCUGGAUAUUGACUAUAUGGUAAUGAAUGUUAAACCUAUAACGGGCUAUAACGCAUAAAACCAUUUUAAUUUUUAAUUAUUACGGUUAAAUUAACUAAUUUGGUAUAUGUAAAUGAUACUUCAACAAGUUAUUGUUGUGACAAAAUAUUUGAACGGCACAAUCGUUAAAGUAACAGAUUAUCACCUUAUAACCCAAAAAAAGGAUAUUCUCACCUCUUUGACACAUCUUUCUAUAAUCUCUCUUUUACUACUUUUUAUUGUUACAAAACAGUACACUGUAUGGCUCGAAAGGGACAUUUGCUUCAACUGCAAAAAAAGGAAUAACAUGUUUUUUUUAGCUAGAAGACAGUAAAAUAGUUCACAUAGCUUGAUUUGUCAUUACCAUCGAAGAAAGUAAGCCAGACUGCGCAACGAAUUAUCAGUAAAAUAGAAAAAUACUGCUUUUGUUACCAUAAAUAAGAUUAAAUCUCUCUCACUUCUUUCGUUCCAAUUAGUAAUCUAGAAGUCCUGACAAUUGGAUCUUACAUAAAUUAUCAAGUGAGUAACCCCAACCACAAAACUGUGCAAUGCUAGACAUUAUGUCACUGUUUUUUUUUUUUUUUAUGUAUUUAAUUAAUAUAUUAAAUACUCAAAAGAGGGUGAAUAGGAAAUGGAGGGAAAGAAUUUUUGAGUGAAUUUUAAGUUUCCCCCAUUGGCAAAUGGACAUUGUCUCAUAUUGGAAGAGAGAGAUUUUUUAUGGGUAUAUAAGCAAUUGCUCUUCUUCUAGCUCUUAAAGAGUUGAGAAGAAGACAAGCCUCGCGCCGCCGCCGUCGUCGCUCGGCUUCGGCAUUGAUUGACUUUUUGGACUAAAUUUAUUUGUUAAUAGUAAAAUAUUAACAGAAAUGUUAUUAAAUAUUUGUUUUAAUAACAGAAUAUUAAUAUUAAAUAUUAAUAUUAAAUCCAAUCCGUUUUUCUGUUUUGGUAACAGAAAAUUUACUACCCUCUUCAAUUUUCCCUCUUUAUUGUUGAGUAAAUAGUCAUUUAUGUAAUGGCAUUUAUGUUGUGGCCAUUUUGUAGAAACAGUCAUUCUGAAGAGUUGCACCUCUUCAGAUUUCAACCAAACUUUGGCUAUAAAUACAACACUAUUCUGCUCAGAAUUUAACUACGAUUUUCUGAGUUUCUCCUCCUUUUUCUGCAUAGUUUAAACAUCAAACAAAGCAACAGUAAGUGUGAUUUGCUACCGAACUUUGUGUUCGCUGAAACACUGAGGUUUGAAGUACCACUACACCAGUGGGUAAUUCGUUCUAUCCUGGGAGGAAAUAUUCCAGAAUCUUGGAUACUAGGAGGGGAUUAAAUUCCUUAAGGAAACACUGUGAAUUCAGUGAGCUCGAAUUGGUUUUCUGUUAUUUCGUAGUUCAUUCCUGUUUAUGUUCAUUUAUAUUUCCAAAAUUAUUUUACAAAUACAGUAUACUUAACAGUCACACCACUAGGAAACAAUACUGAAACUGCUGGUGAUAGAAUUUGGUAAAAUUGAAGUGUGUGUGUGUGUGUGUGGGGGGGGGGGGGGUUCGGUAUUGUUUCUCGACUAAAAAAAUAACGUGACGAUCCACCAAGUCUUGGUUCUGACUCGGAUGGUAUUAUAGACCUGUAAAUCCCAUAAAAGAUCUCUUUUGCAUCUUGAGAAUAUGGUAUACAGAGUAUGGAAUGAAAAGUGGCAAUUCAAGCUCAUGUUCCAAACAGGUGCAUAAAUUCGUUAAGUUUGGAGUAUUAUUUGCUGCAUUAAGACGGCCAAAAUACUUCCCAACGAUAUGUUGAUGACGUUGACAACAUCGUUGUUGAGCUGAAUAUUAAGGGACAAAAAUGGUGAGCAAGUUAGUUUAAUCUCAAAAACGUUGGACCUCUAUUCAGAAAAAUACAUACCCAUUGAAAUCCUUCCUUCUCUUGAAGUGAAGCACCUAUUAGACUUUCGCCAAAGUUUGCUAUCUGGGAGGCAAUUACACAUAUCGCAGCCCCAGGUGCGUUAAUCUGUAAACAAUUCUUUUGGUCAGAAAAAAAAAGACAUUGAGUGGACUGAAUGGCAUUGUAUCUACCAUUAGCAUAGGCAGUUAAAGCUAAAUAUGUAGUGAAUGUUUCGGCAGAAAAGUGAUACAAAAUAUAAAAUAAAUAAAAACACUAUUGAUGGGUUAAAACCAUAGAAAUACCCCUGCCUUGGGCUGCCCAGUCCUCUGACCGAAAUCAGCCGUUCAGGUAAUAUUAUGCAAGGAUUUACCUUCACCAAAAUCACCCAUUUCUUAGUUCUUACUAUAUUCGAAUACAAGAAUACUUAGUACUCUCUUUGUCCCAAGAAGAAUGACCGGGUUUGGAGUACGAGCCAUCUAAUUUCUGAUGUUAAUUCGGAGAUUAAUUUCCACUAAAAUAAAACUUAAAUAUUCAGUAAUUUCACAAAAAGGUACCAUAAAUCACAAUAUUUUAAAAUAUUUAAAAUGUGAAAAUAAAUUAUACUCAAUGAAAUAUUGUUUUGACUCAGAAAAUACUAACAUGACCAUUCUUUUGGGACAAGGAAGUAUAUUUCUCGGACGGCAUGGACCUAGGUAAAAACAUGCAACCAUGUAUUUCUUUAGAAAUCAAUAUACAUAGUCUCAGCCACUGAAUUAUCACACAAACUUGAGUUAGUGCCUGAUCGAAUUGAUCAAAACCAAGAGCCAAAUCGCCACUACACAUGAUUACUGCUCCAGCCAGCACACCUUCGUAGGUUCACACAAAUCCUAGAACGGAAAGGAGAAGAAUAGAAUUGCUAAAACAGUGAAACCCCUUUCAGCUGCUCUUUAUAAUACCAUCAACAAGGUUCCAAAAGAGUACAUUUAUAAGUAAGAAUAUACAAUAAAAUCUAUGGCAAGAAUAUACAAUAAAAUAUAUGGCAAGAAUAUACCAAUUAAAUCUAUGACAACUUGGAGGCUAUCAAGAGUGAUAUAAGACCCACAACCUUCUAUUGUGGCCAAGUUUGAAACGGAUAGGCAUACCUUGCCACAUUGAUUCCUAGUUUCAAGACAUGCUUAGCAUUGUUAAUUUAGGGUAUAAGGGAUAUUUCAACAAUCCUUCCUUUAUCACAACCGCAAGAAAUAAGCCAAAAGAUUUGUGAAAACAUACCCGCUAAGCAAGCCCAAUGUUAGCCCAAUUAUGAGAAAGUGCCCCCAGUUAGCCCAACACUUCAUUCUACAACAAAUAUUCCCUCUAACAAUUUCAAUGUCCUUCAUUCCCAAACUUUUCUUCAGCAUUUCUAGUAACCUAAUUCUUUUCUGGUCUCAACCUGGUCCGUUGUAGACCUCAUGAAAAAAUAAUCAUAUAACAGCACCUUGACGCCAAAAUAUUCAAAGUGACAUUUUUGUUGUCAUAUUAUUAAUCGUAAUAUUGACUAGUAUCUCCAGAUUAUCCCAGAGUACAGAAGAAAAACCACAGCAUAAACAAAAGUUUCUCAAAACUGUGAAUGAUUCAUAAAAGGCGUACCUGACCCAUUAGAUAGCCAACAAACGAAAGGAGAACUGAAGCAAGAAGCCCAACGAAGGUUCCCUCGGCACUCACAGCACCUUCAGUACCCCGAGGCACUACCUUGAAUGUGGUGACAAGAUACCUGCAAUAAAAGACCCUCCAUUAACAAAUAAAGAAUGAAAUUUCCAGUUUCUAUGUAAACAUGACACUGUUUUCAGUUGAUAAAAUUCCUAGUGAUUAGCCAGAGGUGAAAAGGCUGUACUCACGUAGUUUUACCAUAUGCCUUUCCUAUCUCGCUCGAGACAGUGUCGCUCAACUUAGUACAAAAGCUGGCUACAAAUGCAAGUUCCCACAGGCGAGUAAAUGCCUCCCCACCAACACCAUAAAUUGAUAAAAAUGCACAAACACAACCGGCUGCACUGGAGCCGAUCACGCUUCCAGGUCCUCUCCUUCCUUUUCUCUUCUCUGCGACCCCUUGAGCCUCUUUCUGAGCCAUUUUCACCUUAGUCGCAGCUGUUCCCUGUUUGGUUUAAUUUAUUAGUCCAAGUUCCCUGACAUCUUUUAUCAAUAGGAUUUAUCAGUCUAACCACGAGACAGUAUACCUUGAUAGUAGAAAGACAAACCAGAAGUUAUCUAGACGGGUUAAUAAAAGAGUUUCUAUUUUGCUUAUGAAGUUUCCACUAUUCAAUCAAGAGGGUCCUAUUGCUCCUUUCUUUUUGUUUUAUUUAUUUACUAUGAUUACUUUGUUGCUAAUAUUUUACUUAAAUACUCACUCGAUCCCAAUUUAUGCGGCACUCUUUCUUUUUUAGUUAGACUAAACAAGUUUGACACUUUUCUAUAUUUAGAAACAAUUCAACUAUAAAAUUUUCAUUUUACUUUUAAUGAGAUGGUUAAUAGUCACGGAAAUAUCUAUAGCCUCUUUUGGAUCACAUGUUUCAAAAGUUUUUCCUUAUUAGUUAAACUUCGUGUCUAAUCAAAAUCCUCACAUAAAUUGGGACGGAGGGAGUAGAAUUUUUCUCUUAAAGAGGGAUUUGCAAGCAGUUAUUCA